rnacentral:tRNA from 1 species
GGAAGGGUAUAGCCAGUGGUAGAGCAGGUGCUUAGCAGGCAUGAGGUCCUGGGUUCAAUCCCCAGUACUUCCA